rfam:Kluyvera ascorbata ATCC 33433 GKAS.assembly.019, whole genome shotgun sequence.
ACAGUGCCACGGCCGUCUGAGCUAAGGGCACGAUAAGAAGACAAAAGGCGCAGAUUACUGCGCCUUUUUU